rnacentral:rRNA from 1 species
AUUGAACGCUGGCGGCAGGCUUAACACAUGCAAGUCGAGCGAGUGGCGGACGGGUGAGUAAUGUCUGGGCACCUGCCUGAUGGAGGGGGAUAACUCCUGGAAACGGUAGCUAAUACCGCCUACCCUCAGAUCUGCCGAGAUGGGAUUAGCUAGUUGGUGGGGUACUGGCUCACGUAGGCGACGAUCCCUAGCUGGUCUGAGAGGAUGACCAGCCACACGGGAACUGAGACACGGUCCAGACUCCUACGGGAGGCAGCAGUGGGGAAUAUUGGACAAGGGGCGAAAGCCUGAUGCAGCAAGGCCGCGUGUAUGAAGAAGGCCUUCGGGUUGUAAAGCACUUUCAGCGUGGAAGCGGUACCCGCAGAAGAAGCACCGGCUAACUACGUGCCAGCAGCCGCGGUAAUUC